CGGGGCGUAGCGCAGCCUGGUAGCGCGCUUGCUUCGGGAGCAAGAGGUCGGGAGUUCGAAUCUCCCCGCCCCGACCA
rnacentral:tRNA from 2 species